CAAUAGCGUAUAUUAAAGCUGUUGCGGUUAAAAAGCUCGUAGUUGGAUUUCUGUCAAGGACAACUGGUCCGCCCCUCGGGUGAGCACAUAGUUUGGUCUUGGCAUCUUGUUGGAAACUGUUGCUGCACUUGGUUGUGUGGCGCAGUGUCCAGCACUUUCACUUUGAGGAAAUUGGAGUGUUUCAAGCAGGCACAUGCCUUUGGACACAGUAGCAUGGAAUAAUUAGAUUGGGCUUUUGCUCCAACUUGUAGGUUUCUGGAGCUGAGGUGAGAAUUAAUGGGGAUUGUUGGGGGCAUCCGAAUUUAGCCGUCAGAGGUGAAAUUCUUGGAUCUGCUAAAGACGGACAACUGCGAAAGCGUUUGCCCAGGAUGUUUUCAUUGA
rnacentral:rRNA from 1 species